UUCUGAAAAAAAAGAGAAGUGAUCUUCGAAGGGCAAAAAAAAAAUGAAGCAAUCAAACCCCUAGAUAAUCAGAAUUAUUUUCUCAACUGUAAAAUUAUUUUCGUGGUGUUCACGAACCGCGCGAAAAUAAUUGGAAAGUCCCGCGCUUUUGUGCAUCGCAUUAUUAUCGCGAUGCAACGUAGCCACGAUGACUACUGACACGUCGGCAAAUUAUCUGACGAUUACACCGAGAAAAUUCGCAGGGAGUUGGACGCGAAACUCAGAUAUUAGAACGCUCGUGUUUCCAACUAAAUUAUUACCUUUAGAAUUAUUACUCACUUACGUAAUCGGCUCAUUGACAUUCAUUGUUUCAGACUUCUUUUGUUUUGUUUUUUUAUUGUUUAUAUUUUUAAAUCUUUCAUUAUCAAUAAGAGAUGACAAAAAAAAUAAUAAUAAUAAUAUUUUUCCUCAUUGACACAGUGACACAAUGCUAUUACAAUAAUAAUGUAAAUUUUUGAUCAAUGAUUCACGGGUAAACAGAGCGACCAAAUAAAAUUAACUAAAUUGAUAAUUAAAAGUUACUUUUACGUCUUAUAAGUCGUCAGCUCGUUAAAAUCAACUUCCGCCCUCUUUCAUCCAAGUGAAACGCUUUUUUAACGAGAUCCGUAUUCGAGAUGAAAGCCAUUUUUCCCAUACAUACUAUCCGUAUACAAUACUUUUCGCAUCAGAAAAGAUGUUUCGAUUCUGAUAGGCAUCCUGAAAUUGUGCUCGCUUGCAUAAUAAACUUUUCUCAAUUCUUUCAUCAUUUUCCUAUCAGACAGAUAAUAACAAAAAAAAAAAAAAGUAUCUCGUAGUCAUAAGAUUGCUACGAUUACUUUACUUAUUACCUGGCUUCUUUACUAUUUGUUUUUUUUUUCCUUUUAUUCCUAUACAUAAUAUUAACGAACUUGUACUUUAGAAAGGAUGUAUUCUUGGAACGAAUGUAUACCUUCACCAGAGGAAAGGACUCUACAUUAGAAAUUACGAGAAGUUCGUGACGAAAUAAUAUCUACUGAAAUGGAAUUCUUCGACUCCUCGGAAAUUGCGUAUCUCAAAGAAAGUAAUAGCGGUCCCACCGUGCGAAGAAAGAAAGUAGAUUGUACACGCCAGUAGUAAAUAUCGCAUGAGAAAGAACUUCUAUUCUUUUAAAAUGAUAUGGGAACCCUUUCCUAUGAGAAUUAAUCAAAAUCCCUUCUCCUGAGGCAAAUGGUGCCUCGAGUUUCGCUUGAAACUUGUUUUCAUCGUAUGAUUGGAGAGACAGAGGAGAAAGGAUGAUGACCGGACCCAUUUUCGAAGCCUGAGGCUAACAUCACAAAAAGGAGGACUUGAGGAUAAUCAAAAAGUGUCGAUUCGAAAGAAAAAGUACAUUUUAACAUUUGACAAGCUGUUGAUUAAAUCGAAUUUUAAUUUCUAUAAUAUGAUCGAUCUAUUUCGAAAUAAAAAUAAUUUCAGAUAAAUGGACGAUUGUAUUUAUUGUUAUCGAAGAUCUUAUUUAAGAAACGAUUUAACAAGAGUCAUAAAAAAAGACCAUAAAUCCAUUCGAUAAUGGGUAAAAGGAUAUUGACUUUUGACGAUAGGAAAAAACAAGAAAAACAUUUCUUCUAUUCGAUUCUUUUCUCUUCUAUCCACAAAGUGAGCGUUUUUCUUGGCAAGUAAGAUUGUUCAGCGAGGCACUUCGCCGGUGAAUGGAAUCUAACGUCCGAUACUUUCGCAGGCAUCCAGCUCUGUAUGCUUUCGUUUUGCACUUCUUAACCGGAAGUCUCGAGGCCGGUGUAACCGAACAUUUUCAACGAUCCUUGCUUGAUGUAAUUCGUAAUUUAAUACUGUUAUUAAACAUUUCGACAUUUUUCUUAUCUGAUAAUAAAAAAGACAACAAACUCUUCAGAUGUGGGAAGAUA